rnacentral:rRNA from 1 species
AUUGAACGCUGGCGGCAUGCUUUACACAUGCAAGUCAAACGGCAGCGCGGGCUUCGGCCUGGCGGCGAGUGGCGAACGGGUGUGUAAUACAUCGGAACGUGCCCAGUAGCGGGGGAUAGCUCGGCGAAAGCCGGAUUAAUACCGCAUACGACCUGAGGGUGAAAGCGGGGGAUCUUCGGACCUCGCGCUAUUGGAGCGGCCGAUGGCGGUUUAGCUAGUUGGUGGGGUAAAGGCCUACCAAGGCGACGAGCUGUAGCUGGUCUGAGAGGAGGAGCAGCCACACUAGGACUGAGACACGGCCCAGACUCCUACGGGAGGCAGCAGUGGGGAAUUGUAGACAAUGGGCGAAAGCCUGAUCCAGCAAUGCCGCGUGUGUGAUGAAGGCCUUCGGGUUGUAAAGCACUUUUGGCGGGAACGAAAAGGACUGUGCCAAUACCACGGUUCGAUGACGGUACCCGCAGAAUAAGCACCGGCUAACUACGUG